AUGGCUUCGUGACUUUUUGGAAAAGAUCAAGCAUAAGUAUCUGUUCUUAUCAGUUUAAGUUCUGAUAAAUUAUCUCAGGACAACAUAUUAAGUGUAUUUUUGGAGCAGGGAGAUGGAAUAGGAACUGCUCUGUCCACAUUGUAUUUCGACUAGAUUUUAUAUUACCUUUGGGGCACAGUGAAUCCCCA